rnacentral:rRNA from 1 species
UACGUAGGGGGCAAGCGUUGUCCGGAUUUAUUGGGCGUAAAGAGCGUGUAGGCGUUUAGGUAGGUCCGUUGUGAAAACUCGAGGCUCAACCUCGAGACGCCGAUGGAAACCAUCUGACUAGAGUCCGGAAGAGGAGAGUGGAAUUCCUGGUGUAGCGGUGAAAUGCGCAGAUAUCAGGAAGAACACCCGUGGCUAAGGCGGCUCUCUAGUACGGUACUGACGCUGAGACGCGAAAGCGUGGGGAGCGAACAGG